UACAGAGGGUGCGAGCGUUAAUCGGAAUUACUGGGCGUAAAGCGCACGUAGGUGGCGACGUAAGUCGGGUGUGAAAGCCCCGGGCUCAACCUGGGAAUUGCAUUCGAGACUGCAUUGCUGGAGUACGGAAGAGGAAGGCGGAAUUCCCGGUGUAGCGGUGAAAUGCGUAGAUAUCGGGAGGAACAUCAGUGGCGAAGGCGGCCUUCUGGUCCAGUACUGACACUCAAGUGCGAAAGCGUGGGGAGCAAACGGG
rnacentral:rRNA from 1 species